rnacentral:rRNA from 1 species
AGUGUCUGGUGGGUAGUUUGACUGGGGCGGUCUCCUCCUAAAGAGUAACGGAGGAGCACGAAGGUUGGCUAAUCCUGGUCGGACAUCAGGAGGUUAGUGCAAUGGCAUAAGCCAGCUUGACUGCGAGCGUGACGGCGCGAGCAGGUGCGAAAGCAGGUCAUAGUGAUCCGGUGGUUCUGAAUGGAAGGGCCAUCGCUCAACGGAUAAAAGGUACUCCGGGGAUAACAGGCUGAUACCGCCCAAGAGUUCAUAUCGACGGCGGUGUUUGGCACCUCGAUGUCGGCUCAUCACAUCCUGGGGCUGAAGUAGGUCCCAAGGGUAUGGCUGUUCGCCAUUUAAAGUGGUACGCGAGCUGGGUUUAGAACGUCGUGAGACAGUUCGGUCCCUAUCUGCCGUGGGCGCUGGAGAACUGAGGGGGGCUGCUCCUAGUACGAGAGGACCGGAGUGGACGCAUCACUGGUGUUCGGGUUGUCAUGCCAAUGGCACUGCCCGGUAGCUAAAUGCGGAAGAGAUAAGUGCUGAAAGCAUCUAAGCACGAAACUUGCCCCGAGAUGAGUUCUCCCUGAGACUUAGAGUCUCCUGAAGGAACGUUGA